rnacentral:rRNA from 1 species
CCCUUAGAUGUUCUGGGCCGCACGCGUGCUACACUGAGUGGAUCAGCGGGUCAGGUUGCGCGAAAGUGUUUCCUAAUCUUUAAAUCCGCUCGUGAUGGGGAUUGACGGUUGCAAUUUUCCGUCAUGAACGAGGAAUACCUUGUAAGCGCGGGUCAUCAUCCCGCGCUGAAUACGUCCCUGCCCUUUGUACACACCGCCCGUCGCACCUACCGAUUGAAUGGUCCGGUGAGGCCUCGGGAUUGUGGCCAGUUUCCUUCAUUGGGAGUUGGCUGCGAGAACUUGUCCAAACCUUAUCAUUUAGAGGAAGGUGAAGUCGUAACA